GACAGCAGCCGCCGCGGGAAUACGGACCGUGCAAACGUUACUCGGAAUCACUGGGCUUAAAGCGCACGUAGGCGGCGACAUAAGUUAGAGGUGAAAUCCCAUCGGCUCAACCGUGGAACUGCCUCUAAUACUGUGUUGCUUGAGGGAGAACGGGGCAUUCGGAACUUCCGGUGGAGCGGUGAAAUGUGUUGAUAUCGGAAGGAACGCCGGUGGCGAAAGCGGAAUGCUGGGUCUCUUCUGACGCUGAGGUGCGAAAGCUAGGGUAGCGAACGGGAUUAGAUACCCCCGUAGUCCCUGUCUCUUAUA
rnacentral:rRNA from 1 species